GGUGAGGUCGCAUAGCUGGUCUAGUGCGGCGGUUUGCUAAACCGCUGUACGGGUUAAAAUCCGUACCGAGGGUUCGAAUCCCUCCCUCACCG
rnacentral:tRNA from 1 species